AUUGAACGCUGGCGGCAGGCCUAACACAUGCAAGUCGAACGGUAACAGGAAGAAGCUUGCUUCUUUGCUGACGAGUGGCGGACGGGUGAGGAAUGUCUGGGAAACUGCCUGAUGGAGGGGGAUAACUACUGGAAACGGUAGCUAAUACCGCAUAACGUCGCAAGACCAAAGAGGGGGACCUUCGGGCCUCUUGCCAUCGGAUGUGCCCAGAUGGGAUUAGCUAGUAGGUGGGGUAACGGCUCACCUAGGCGACGAUCCCUAGCUGGUCUGAGAGGAUGACCAGCCACACUGGAACUGAGACACGGUCCAGACUCCUACGGGAGGCAGCAGUGGGGAAUAUUGCACAAUGGGCGCAAGCCUGAUGCAGCCAUGCCGCGUGUAUGAAGAAGGCCUUCGGGUUGUAAAGUACUUUCAGCGGGGAGGAAGGGAGUAAAGUUAAUACCUUUACUCAUUGACGUUACCCGCAGAAGAAGCACCGGCUAACUCCGU
rnacentral:rRNA from 1 species